UGGGCGGCUCUCUUAGCCGCUCCAGAACAAGGGUGGGAAGUUUCCCCUGGUAUGCUUGGGCAUGAGGGGAAGGGGCAUGUGUCAAGCCCUCUCUCUGCUCCUUGUCUGCCACUGAGACAUUUCUUACAUGCCUUUGGAUUUCUUACAUGCAGUUGGCUCCCUGCGAGAAGGGCCCAGCCACAGUAGGACAGAGUGUAUGAUGAAAGGCAUCAGGCUGGCGUGGGAAGUUAUAGGUGAAUUGACCUAGGAAGGACAGCUCUGCUGGAGGGGACUUGGCAGCAGGAGGUACUGCCUCUGUCAAAUGUCAGAAGAUGGAGCUCUGAUAAUAGACUCCAGGGCUUGCAGGCUAGCUCUGUUUUAUGGGGCAACGCUGUCUGGGAAAGCCUGGUGGGUGGGGCUUAAUGCAGGCCCCUCCCCUUCACUGAGUCCCCUAUGGCUCAAAGCUGCUAAGGUACCACACAGACCCUCUGCCUCCACACUGUGCUAUGACCUGUGCUGUGGUUCCUGACUAUGGGUGGAAGCCUAGGCUCAUCAGGAAACUGCAUCUCCCCAGAUUAGCCUACUUCAACCCUCUGACUCCAGUCUAUACCCAAGAGCCCUGAACAAAGCCAAGCAAGGUACAGAUGGUUGAGGUCUGACCCUGGGGUGCUGGGGCAGAGAUCCAAGGGCAGACUGCUUGGGUGGUGGGAUCUUCAUUGCCCAGUCGAUUAUGGGAAAUUCCUAUGGAAUUAGUAAAGUAUACCUCUGGGUUCGUCUGUGAGGACGUUUCUAGAGAGCAGUGGACUAGAUACAGGGAUCGAUUAUUGAUUGAUUGAUUGAUUGAUUGAUUGAUUGAUACAGGGUUUCAUUACUGUAGCUUCAUUGGUCUGGAACUUGCUACAUAUGUAGAGCAGGCUGGCCUCAAACUCACAGAGAUCUACCUGCCUCUGCCUCCCGAGUGCACCACCAUGCCCAGCCCGUGGACCAUUUCUUGAGAGUGACAUAUUAUGGCAAGGAUUUAAAGAAUAUAUGAGAAUAUAAGGAGAAUCAGGAACUUUGAAAACUGCAACUAGAAGCUGGAGUGGGGCUGGGACCGGAUGUUACCGAGAAGGCACUGGGUCACGCUAACAGAUCAAUGAGGCCCUGACCUGGUUGGUGGUUCAACUUGGCCUCCUGCUCAUUUCUUACAAAUAAAGUUUUAUUAUGGUGCAGCCGCAUUCCUCAGCUCGUGCUGUCGCCGCAGGACAUCAGAGGAGAGCAGGAAGACUGGCAUGUUCCUACUGGCCCUGCCGAGCCUUGCCCCCAGUCUUGACCUCUUGACUCUACACUGUGAACCGCCAAGCGGGCGCCUCAGCUAUCAAAGAAAAUGUGCGUGUUACACUUCUGCUGGUGGCUGGACUUGUUCCAAAUCAUCAGAACACGAAUCCCCAAGGCUGACAUCUAUAAUUUGGAAAGCCAUAAAAAUGAAUACAGAUGAAACAUUAGAGGGCAGCGGUAUGAGAAAAGCGGGAACAAAGAGGCGCUUGCUGCUUUAAACAGGUCUUAAAACUGCUUUCAUCUGCGCGCUCGCCGCAGCCCAGUGAAAUUGAUUCAUUGACCAAAUUGGCCAUUUAGAUUCAAAAGGCUCAGCUUUCUGAGCGCAGCCCCCUCCCCUCUGGAUUUAUGGGGCUGUAGAGAGGCACCCACCAGUGGUUUCUUUUUUAAGGAUGAUCUACACUGAGGUAUCAGCCCCCUUCUUUCUGGAGAGCACACACUUGCUGGUCACUGCAGCCUGAAGGGGGUGCUGUGCCAGUCUUGGCUCUCAGGAGGUCAGCGGGCACCUUGCAAUGUCAGCCAGACCUUCUCUGGAUGGCUGGUCCACUCCUAACUGCUGUCUAGAUCAGUGUAAAGCUGCCAUAUCUGUUGGAAAGAGACUGAGGAACGCGACCACGGGAGAGGGCCUGCCUCAGCUCACCCAGCAGUCCCGAGCAUAAGUGCAAACAGCAUGGGGCUAGACCCUGAGCCUACAGGAAAGCACCACAGACAGCAUGGCUGUUUCUCCUGGGUGACAGGCAGUUGUGAACCGGCCCCUGUGAGAGUUACUUCGAAGAGAACACCUGUCUGGCCAUGCAUCCUAGAGCCUGCCACCUAGAGCCAAGAUGCUACCAGGAAGGAAGACAUGACAGGGAAAAGGCAGCGGGGAAUGGUUCCUGCAGAGCUCUGUUCUGGACAUGGAGAAUUCAGCAACCCAGUUAAAAACUUCCUGAGAAGAGCCACAGGUGCCAUAAAAACGAGGGAACCUCUGGAAGUGCAGCAGCUAGGAACAGGGCUCAGCGUGAGACUGGGAUUCAGGGUCUGUCUCAGAUCAGGAUUCCUGCUCGGCCUAAGACUGUGGUCAAGUCCAGGUGAGAGCGAGAGUUGUGUCAGUCUGAGAGGAGCAGAGAUACUAGGGCUCAGUUUUGAGGUGCACAGCACAGCUUUCCCCAUGUUAGGCAGUCUAGCGAUGAACGAUCCCUGGAUCUAUAGCUUUGCCCCGUGGAAUGGCUCAACCUUCCCUGAACCUGCUCUCCUGCUAGAUCACCCUUCUGGGCUGCACAGCAGCAGGCUGCUCCAGCCACAGCACAGCUGCUGUGUGACCGGUCUGCCUACUCCUGGACAAGAUAUGGACACCUGGGGCCCUGUACCUGGCACACCCCACCAGUUUAGGUGCCACACACACCCCACACACAACUGAGCAACCUUUGACCCGGAGAAAUUAGGUCAAUGAGUGAGAGGCACGUGGGGGGGCCUGGAGUUACCCACCCACAGGGCAGGGUCAGCAAGCUCCUGGGGAUGUUUAUUCAUAGGCAUUCUAGUCAGUAACAGAGCCAGCUUUUGGGGGAGGGGGGUUUGUAGGAACAAGAAAUCAGAAGGUCAGCCAUAACUGGCCAGGCCCCUGAUGGAGACCAUAGUUUGCAAAGGCCUCACGGCCUUUGCACAUGGCCACUGUAAGUUGAGCUGGAACCUCCAGGCCCUCAACCCCCACAUCGCUCCAUUUUCAUUAUUUUGUCUUAUAUUUUGUAACUUUAAUUACAUAUUAAGUGACAUACUAAAAAACCAUCGUUAAAAUUUAAGCCUUUGGUAAUACCGUUUUAUUACAUUUUGAUGACUUUAUAACUAUGAUACUUUAUUAUUCCUUCUAUGUUAUUCUAUGAAGGCACAGUGAGGUUUUUAAUAUCUAAUUACAGCACCGAGUGAUCAUUAAACCAGACGCAUGGUGAGCUCC